rnacentral:rRNA from 1 species
CACGUAGGCACCAAGCGUUGUCCGGAUUUAUUGGGCGUAAAGAGCUCGUAGGCGGUUCAGUAAGUCGGGUGUGAAAACUCUGGGCUCAACCCAGAGACGCCACCCGAUACUGCUGUGACUUGAGUACGGUAGGGGAGUGGGGAAUUCCUGGUGUAGCGGUGAAAUGCGCAGAUAUCAGGAAGAACACCCGUGGCGAAGGCGGCUCUCUGGGACGGUACUGACGCUGAGACGCGAAAGCGUGGGGGAGCGAAACAGGG